UUUUACCAAAGAAAAAGAAAAUUUACUAUUUCUUCUUCACAUCUAAGUAGUUAUCCUUGUUUAGAUUAUCUGCUUCAUUAACAGUAAAGAAAUAACAAAUAUCUGAAAGGAAAUCGUCGUUCUUAUUUUUUAAAAAUAGCGUUUAUAUUACUGUGAGUGAAAAAUUCCAAUACGCGAUGAUUAUCGUAAUUUACCGCAUCAAAAUACACCCACCUGUAAUUCUAGCGAAUGACGUUGCGCCUGAGCGCUACGUACCAAAAUACCUGUGCGCCGCGCCAGCUAUGUAUCAAAUAUUCGUACUGAAGCGAGACGACGUGCAAGGUACGGUAGUUUGUAGCCGGUGAGAUUUUCGCGAGUGUGGACUAUGACAACGGAUGUGUAUGGCUUUUCCCGUCUGACUUCUCAAAAUUCAAGUAGAAGUGUUCAAGAUCACAAUAUUUGUACGUUUCGACUUAUAAAAACAGGUGAGUGCAUAAAAUUCAAUAUUUUCUCCAAAAAAAGUCCGAAAAUGCUAUUCUUAAUUUUAAACAAAGCGCAAACAUUAAGUUUAGCAUCGACAAUUAUUUAAACAUUUAUUGAC
rnacentral:lncRNA from 1 species